rnacentral:rRNA from 1 species
GACGAACGCUGGCGGCGUGCUUAACACAUGCAAGUCGAGCGAGCGGCGGACGGGUGCGUAAUGUCUGGGAAACUGCCUGAUGGAGGGGGAUAACUACUGGAAACGGUAGCUAAUACCGCCUACCCUCAGAUUUGCCCAGAUGGGAUUAGAUAGUAGGUGGGGGAAUGCCUCACCUAGGCGACGAUCCCUAGCUGGUCUGAGAGGAUGACCAGUCACACGGGAACUGAGACACGGUCCAGACUCGUACGGUAGGCAGCAGUGGGGAAUAUUGCACAAGGGGCGCAAGCCUGAUGCAGCCAUGCCGCGUGUGUGAAGAAGGCCUUCGGGUUGGAAAGCACUUGCAGCGAGGAGGCGUUACUCGCAGAAGAAGCACCGGCUAACUCCGUGCCAGCAGCCGCGGUAAUUC